UACUAAAACGUUGAGAAGAAGCUAGGUGA
rnacentral:piRNA from 1 species